UCUCCAAAUGUCCAUUCUUCAGCCAAACAAUCCUCAGCCAACUGUCUGACGUUCUCGAUCACCUGCGACGAAGGAUAGAACCAGAAACAGAGAGGGAGGAUCGAAGAAAACUAUAAGGAGAGUCUAAAAUGAAACCCAGGACCCAAAACUGUCUUAACCGACGUCAAAAAGCUUGGUUAACACCAAGAGGAGGAUCCCCGACAACUGCACAUCAUCUUAGGCUCAAUUUCUACCAUUCUCAGCCUCCCGAACUUGUUUUCAGCUCAGCUCAGAUUAAGGUAUUUAUGGGGAGCAUGACACGAGGGGUUCGCCUGCAUACAACUUGUCUGAUGGAAUGCUGAUGAAGGGUCAGUGGGUUGUAGUUGAUGCAAUUGGCUUGCUUAAGGCUAGGUGGAAGAUUCUUCCGGAUUUGAAUGUGGGUAUAAGCCAUGCGCCACAGACCAUUGUUGCUUGCUGUGUGUUGCAUAAUUUGUGUCAAAUUGCUAAGGAGCCAGAGCCUGAACCAUUGAAGGACCCAAAUGAGACUGGCCCAAAUGGCCCAAGAGUCUGUGUGUUAUCAUGGUGAAAGUGUGAGGUAGGCACGCGUUGAUAAUUUGUAUUAGGCACGGGUUGAUAAUUUGUAUCAAAGGCUUCGAUCG